CCACAAGGAAAUGUGUUGAAAUCUGUCAUAAUUUUUCAGGCUUUCUAGGUGGGCAGCUUGAUACCUACGCAGACCAUAAGUUUACAACUUGAAAGCAACUACACUGUGUGCCAUGGGCAUACUGAAUAAAGAAUCAGUGUGAUGGAAAACACAAGACUGAAGAAACAGCCAAAAGAAGGAGAAAAGGAGGUGCUUGAUUCCAUCGCCUUCUCCUCCUGAGCCAGAGAAAGGAGCUGUCCAAAUUAUAGCUGUGAAGGCUAAAAAGUACUUACAACCUAGUCCACCGUUUCUGAAAUACUAUUUGU
rnacentral:lncRNA from 1 species